ACAGUGUGGGGUUGAUUCGAUUGAGGAAAGGACCCAGUGGUAAAUCAGAUAGCCUAAACAGGCCCGAGUCGGUCUGGAUAUGUCCCACCAGUAACUACACGGGAAAAUGUGAGGAGAUGAGAGUUAUCUAAUCCAGUAUAACAUCACUAUGGCAACAGUGACUACAUGGGAUGUUGUAAGAUGAAUUUUCUAUCCCAGUAUUACGUCACCAUAGCAACAGCGAUGACACUGGAUAGUUUGAGGAGAUGAGUUAUCAACCCAGUAUUACAUCACCAUGACAACAGCGAUGACACAGAAUGUCGUGAGAAGUGCUCGUCCACUUGACAUGGAUGUACGCGAUGUCCCGGAUAGAGCCUAACCCGCCAUCCACGAUCAUUGAACACUGCCCUGUGAACAAGAGGCCAACUUAAUGAAAGGGCUGUUCUCGGCCCUGGGAUCAUCCCGGAUUAUCCUGAUGAUGAGGCUCGGACACCAGGUAUCCAACGGGCUUUGUUUCGGCCGGAGAACAAGCUGGGCGAGCGAUGGGGAACGCGUGCAUAGAGAUAAAUGCGCAAUUUGCCGGAAAAGUGAUGGAUGGACACCAAAUUUGUCAUGGAAUUCACGCCAGAAGGACGGGCAUAAUGUUCCAAGGCCUUGUGAGAUGUUAAGUAGUGGUUCAUCCCUCCUCAACAAGGUAGCUAAUUGAUGCGACAAAGGCUUCACUCAU